GGGGUGUUAGCUCAGCUGGGAGAGCGUUGCAAUGGCAUUGCAAAGGUCGUGGGUUCGAGCCCCAUACAUUCCA
rnacentral:tRNA from 1 species